GAACGAACGCUGGCGGCACGCCUAACACAUGCAAGUCGAACGAGACCUUCGGGUCUAGUGGCGCACGGGUGCGUAACGCGUGGGAACCUGCCCUUAGGUUCGGAAUAACUCCCCGAAAGGGGUGCUAAUACCGGAUAAUGUCUUCGGACCAAAGAUUUAUCGCCUUUGGAUGGGCCCGCGUUGGAUUAGCUAGUUGGUAGGGUAAAAGCCUACCAAGGCGACGAUCCAUAGCUGGUCUGAGAGGAUGAUCAGCCACACUGGGACUGAGACACGGCCCAGACUCCUACGGGAGGCAGCAGUGGGGAAUAUUGGACAAUGGGCGAAAGCCUGAUCCAGCAAUGCCGCGUGAGUGAUGAAGGCCUUAGGGUUGUAAAGCUCUUUUACCCGGGAUGAUAAUGACAGUACCGGGAGAAUAAGCUCCGGCUAACUCCGUG
rnacentral:rRNA from 1 species